rnacentral:tRNA from 1 species
UUUUAUAUAGUUUAAAAAAAACAUUAUAAUUUCAAUAUAAUAUUAAUAAAUAAUCUUAUUUAUAAAAA